AUUGAACGCUGGCGGCAGGCCUAACACAUGCAAGUCGAACGGUAACAGGAAGCAGCUUGCUGCUUCGCUGACGAGUGGCGGACGGGGGAGUAAUGUCUGGGAAGCUGCCUGAUGGAGGGGGAUAACUACUGGAAACGGUAGCUAAUACCGCAUAAUGUCGCAAGCCCAAAGAGGGGGACCUUCGGGCCUCUUGCCACCGGAUGUGCCCAGAUGGGAUUAGCUAGUUGGUGGGGUAAAGGCUCACCAAGGCGACGAUCCCUAGCUGGUCUGAGAGGAUGACCAGCCACACUGGAACUGAGACACGGUCCAGACUCCUACGGGAGGCAGCAGUGGGGAAUAUUGCACAAUGGGCGCAAGCCUGAUGCAGCCAUGCCGCGUGUAUGAAGAAGGCCUUCGGGUUGUAAAGUACUUUCAGCGGGGAGGAAGGGAGUAAAGUUAAUACCUUUGCUCAUUGACGUUACCCGCAGAAGAAGCACCGGCUAACUCCGUG
rnacentral:rRNA from 1 species